CAGGAGGGGAAGGCUGGACAGGAAAAACCAUUCCCUUUUAUAAAAAGCAUGCAGGUUUUACAGCAAGUACCCUUCGCAUAGCAACCACCACUUAGCAGCCUCCACCUAGCUGAAAACAAUGGGCCUCAGUUCCUUGGACCACCUGCAUUCCAAGGCACACGCCAGGAUCCAGGUGUCCUUCACAGGUAUGGCAUAAACAUCAGGGUUGGCCAUUACUGGAACACUAAACAAACAUUCAUCAAGGAACACAGGAUCAUUCUCAAGCGUUCUAGAACACAACUACUAACUAGCUCGGCCUGGUACCACGGAUUUGUGCUACGGCACCAGGAGAGCAAAAUCAACACAGAAAAAAGCAAGAAAACUCAGAGAAAAAAUAAAACAAAUCUACAAUGAACACAUCAGUAUGUAUAUUUCUACAAACUUGUGUGAGAAGUUCUGUAAGAUCAAGUCCUAAAAGCAGAAUUGCUGGCUCAAAGGCAAAAAAAAAAAAAAAAAAGUAAAUUUAUUGAUGUGCCUACCAACGUGUUCUGAGGCUAUGAGGAAGCCAUAAAAGUCCUACCCUGAAUUACAGUCCAUCCUGGAUUCCAGGCAAGAAUAUAUACCUUCAGAUUUGGUGAG
rnacentral:lncRNA from 1 species